rnacentral:rRNA from 1 species
CUACGUGCCAGCAGCCGCGGUAAUACGGAGGGUGCGAGCGUUAAUCGGAAUAACUGGGCGUAAAGGGCACGCAGGCGGUUAUUUAAGUGAGGUGUGAAAGCCCCGGGCUUAACCUGGGAAUUGCAUUUCAGACUGGGUAACUAGAGUACUUUAGGGAGGGGUAGAAUUCCACGUGUAGCGGUGAAAUGCGUAGAGAUGUGGAGGAAUACCGAAGGCGAAGGCAGCCCCUUGGGAAUGUACUGACGCUCAUGUGCGAAAGCGUGGGGAGCAAACAGGAUUAGAUACCCUGGUAGUCCACGCUGUAAACGCUGUCGAUUUGGGGAUUGGGCUUAAAGCUUGGUGCCCGUAGCUAACGUGAUAAAUCGACCGCCUGGGGAGUACGGCCGCAAGGUUAAAACUCAAAUGAAUUGACGGGGGCCCGCACAAGCGGUGGAGCAUGUGGUUUAAUUCGAUGCAACGCGAAGAACCUUACCUACUCUUGACAUCCAGA